rnacentral:lncRNA from 1 species
UGGACCAUGAGUGUUGUGGCUGUAAUGUGCUGGUGGUGACAAAUGGAAUUUUUGACGUGAUGAAAGCUUUGCUAUGUAUUGCCGGAACCCUCCUGCUCUGUCUUCUGCAUUCUGCAGCUGGGUCCAAGUGACAAUCCCGCGCUUUGAAAGAUCCCUGGACUCAAGAACAGUCUGGGCUUAACUCCUGGCUUCAUUACUAACUGUAAACCAAAGCUCACUGAACCUCAGUUUCCCCAACUAUAAAAUAAGGGGGGGGAGGAUGUUGAAAUCCCUACCAAAGACACAAUGCUAUGUGACAUUAACAUACGUGCAUGGAUCCAAUCACAUCAUUUCAUUUUCUCCUUUUGAUAUCCAGUAAGCAUCCGCCGAGCACAGAGUAUCAAGUUGUCACCCACAUCACCUCAGUAGCACCUCCCAUCAGUGGCACGGCUGGAUAUGGAGAAAAUGAAGCUCACUGAAAAUGGGACCUGUCUAGGAAGCAGUGGAUUGAACCUUGGAAAACAAAACGAAACACCCAGAAGCCAUCAUGUCGCAAGAAUAAUUUCAAGAGCAGCAGUGGAGUCUUUUUGGAUGCCAGAGGCUGCACUAAAUGUCUUUCUCCUUGGCAGGGAUGUUACUCUUGGAGUAUGUGAAGACAGUUUGCUUUUUGACAAGCGAGCAAGCGGGCGCCCAGAUUUCUACAGCCUUUGGAGUCUCCCCGGAGGGAAAGGCAGAUAGAACAAACCUCGGACUGGGGAGCCAUCCUGGAAGGGCUCUGCGCAGGGGAACCGCCCCACCCUUUGGCCCCAGACUCUCCUGCCUGGGGCUCCGGUGGUACUACUAAAGGAUUGCCUCAAGCUCUGAGGAUGAAGCUGGGGUUUAGGGUUCCGGAAACCUCUCGAAUAACAACUGUGGGGGAGAAAGAGACUCUGCCAACAUUUCUUCCUGGCCUCACAACGGAAAGGACUGUUUUCUUAAAGCUGUUGACUUCAGUCACAGAGCCAGUGGCCCACCACUAUUUCCCCUGUCCCCCGC